rnacentral:rRNA from 1 species
AUGAACGCUGGCGGCGUGCCUAAUACCUGCAAGUCGAGCGAACAGACGAGGAGCUUGCUCCUCUGACGUUAGCGGCGGACGGGUGAGUAACACGUGGAUAACCUACCUAUAAGACUGGGAUAACUUCGGGAAACCGGAGCUAAUACCGGAUAAUAUAUUGAACCGCAUGGUUCAAUAGUGAAAGACGGUUUUGCUGUCACUUAUAGAUGGAUCCGCGCCGCAUUAGCUAGUUGGUAAGGUAACGGCUUACCAAGGCAACGAUGCGUAGCCGACCUGAGAGGGUGAUCGGCCACACUGGAACUGAGACACGGGCCAGACUCCUACGGGAGGCAGCAGUAGGGAUCUUCCGCAAUGGGCGAAAGCUUGACGGAGCAACGCCGCGUGAGUGAUGAAGGUCUUCGGAUCGUAAAACUCUGUUAUUAGGGAAGAACAAAUGUGUAAGUAACUAUGCACGUCUUGACGGUACCUAAUCAGAAAGCCACGGCUAACUACGUG